UGAGGAUAUUGGAUAUCGGGGAAUCGGCCGCGCUGUCGACGCGGCGCCUGGGUUCAAUGAAAUGCGGUUCGUGUUCAUGUCACUCAU
rnacentral:tRNA from 1 species